rnacentral:lncRNA from 1 species
GAAAGGAGAACCUAGCCGACCCCUUCACUAAAGCCCUGGCGAUAAAGGAGUUCGACAACCACAAGUCGAAGAUGGGUAUUAGAUACUGUGCCGAGUGGCUUUAGGACAAGUGGGAGUUAUUGGAAAAUGUGUCCCAAAAAGUCAAUCGUCAAGCUGUUAACGGUUGAGCAACCAAGUAUUGUAAUUGAUUUGUUAAUAAAUAAAAUAUAUUUGUCAUCUUCAUCAUAAGCUUUCAUCUUCUAGUGAACUCUGUUGUUAUGAUGAAGUCCUUAGGACUAU